UGUUUGACUGACGUAUAUUUCCGCUCUAGAAUCUUAGGUUCUUUUCGAUCGAACCUCCAGAGCAGAAAGACCUGUGAAAAUUUACCCAGAUAAACCUGCCUAUUCCGCCAACCCAUUCCCGCGGAACUAUAAAAAGGAAGGAAGGAAAAUAGGAACCCUUUAGAGUUACCGGCCCUUAUCUAGGAGAACCCACCUCCACGUGGAUCAUCCAUCGGCCCGGCAUCCAGGCAGAGCAAGCCCUAAGCCGGCCCAGCGAUUCGCAAGUGUCCCGCGGAGCGCCUUAAUCAUCCUAUCGAGGGAUCGGCAACUCCGUGGGCCAGCAUUUUUUUGGAUGUGAAUAGGGGCAAAAAGCCUAGUGGAGAAAAGUGUGAAGAAAUUAACCUAAAGUCCCCAAAACCACGUGCGCACUGAGAAAAAUAUAAGACAAAACUAUAAUGGAAAAUACAAAAUAAUAAAGAUCAAUGCUUGUGAACAAAAACCCGUGAAAAUAUAAAUGAAAAUGUGCAUAAACGAAAAUUAAAUUUUUCUUUUUUUGGUUAUACCAAAAUUUUUGAGAGAAAUACACUGCAAACAAUGAAGUGACAAUUUGAAUAAACAAACCUUUAAAUAUAAUGAAGCUAGAACAGUGCUAGAAAAAUACUAUAAAAGAAAUAGAAGGUGAAAACAAAAACCAAAAAAAAACAAAACGAAAAAAAAAUAAUAAAUAGUUAAAAAUGUUAAAAAUAAAGAAUAAGUUAAAAAAAUAAAAAAAGUAUAUAAAUAAAAUUAAAAAAUGUGAAAACGUGCGGCAAAAAUUAGAAGGCUCUUCGAAAUGUAAAUUUGAUUAUUUUAUUUUUUCUAUAUUUUUUUGGUUUUUUUUUCUUUUAUUUUUGUUUUGGUUUUGCAUGGAAAAAAAUUAGGUAGAGAUCGAAGUGAUAAUAGCAUAAGUGCAAGAAUGCACAGAAGAGUGCACUUGUGUGAGUUUGGUUUGAUAGAGCAAAGAAACACUGAAAGAAAAGCUCUGAUGUUUUAUACAAAAAGUUAAGUUAUUUGCGUCUCAGAAAUUUCCCAAAAAAGUAUGGGAAAAGCCCCCCAAAAUUCUGUUUCCAGCACGCCAGCGCCGGGAGAUGGAUCUUUCGUCGUGGGAUAUGCAAACGAACCAGUUGACAACUACACAUUCAUAAUUAUGUUUCCACAACAACCGAACAUCAAUAUCUAAAAUACCCGUAAAGAUAGGACCAGCGUAAAUUUAUUUCAAUGAAUAACUUUUCUUGAAAUAAAAUCUUACAAAUCGGCUGUAGUGUUAACCAGUAUUAACGGGGAGGCUACAUAAUUCUUCCACCUCUACGGACAGGAAGUAACCUAAAAUACAGUAAAACAAGAAAGGUAAGCUAACUUCGGGCGGAGCCGAAGUUGAUAUACCCUUGCAGUUCAGUCGCAGUCCGCUAGGUGGCGCCACGCAUCUUAUAUUAUUAGAUAUAUAGCAAAUCGCUACUACCGUUACACGUUACAGAUAAAUAUUUAUUAUUAAUUAAGAAAAAGUGGCGCCCAACGUGGGGCCUUAGUGAAUAAAUUCAAGUUCAUUAAGACUCGCCAAGGACAUAAUUUCAGAAACUCUUUCAUUUCUUCGUUACUUUAAACAUUCACCUUUCUAAAUUUUCGAUUGUGUUCGAAUUCCUGGAAUUCAUGCCGUAAGAAUAUCAGUAUUCAAAGCUGACCGGAAUUAGACCAUUAAACGGAAAUUUCCUACCUCAAGCAGAAGUGUCUGGAGUAUUCAGUC